rnacentral:tRNA from 14 species
GGGGAUGUAGCUCAGUUGGCUAGAGCGCUUGCAUGGCAUGCAAGAGGUCGUCGGUUCGAGCCCGAUCUUCUCCA